rnacentral:rRNA from 1 species
AUGGCUUCUCCCCGGCACCUGCUCCCCCUCCUCCUCCUGCUCGCCCUCCUCGCCCCCUCCUCGUCGGCGGCGCCGGGCGUCAUCCGGCUGCCGCGCGCCGGGGCCUGCGCCGCGCCGGCGGACCCGGCCGUCUACGACCGCCCCGUGAUCGGCAUCGUCACGCACCCGGGCGACGGCGCGGCCGGGAGGAUCGACAACGGCACCUCCACCUCCUACAUCGGCGCCUCCUACGUCAAGUUCGUCGAGGCCGGCGGCGCCCGCGUCAUCCCGCUCAUCUACAACGAGCCCGACGAGCGCCUCCUCGAGAAACUCAGUUUGGUGAACGGCGUGCUGUUUACUGGUGGAUCAGUGAAGAGGGGUCCAUAUUUUGAGACGAUUAAGAAAGUGUUUCAGUAUGUCUUGGACAAGAAUGAUGCAGGAGUUCCAUUUCCAUUGUUUGCACAGUGUCUUGGCUUUGAGCUUGUAAGCAUGAUUGUGAGCAAGGACAAUAAUAUUUUGGAGUCAUUCCACGCCUCAGAUCAAGCAUCAACUCUCCAGUUCCCCAAUUAUUCUUCACUUCAGGGAUCAGUAUUUGAAAGAUUUCAUCCUGAUCUCAUCAAGAAACUCAGCACCAGUUGUCUUGUCAUGCAAAAUCACAAAUAUGGUAUAUCUCCAAAGAGAUUGCGAGAGAAUGACGCGUUAUCAAGUUUCUUCAAGAUUCUGACUAUAUCCCCUGAUGAAAAUGGUGAGGUUUACGUCUCAACCGUUGAAGCACAGAAAUAUCCAAUCACUUGCACUCAGUGGCACCCUGAGAAAGCCAUUUUCGAAUGGCGUAAACCAAUGAUUCCACACAGCGAGGAUGCAGUACAAGUGACACAAAAUUUUGCCAACUACUUUAUCAGCCAAGCCCGCAAGUCGCCAAACAGGCCGCCUGCCGACAAGGUGCUGGACAACCUGAUCUACAACUACAUCCCUACAUUUUCCGGGAAAACCUCGAAAUCCUUCGAGUUGGUGUACCUCUUCUCCUGA